GACGAACGCUGGCGGCGUGCUUAACACAUGCAAGUCGAACGGAACUCUUUGGAUCAAGGCUUCGGCCAAGUGAAUUUGAGUUUAGUGGCGGACGGGUGAGUAACGCGUGAGGAACCUGCCUUUCAGAGGGGGACAACAGUUGGAAACGACUGCUAAUACCGCAUAACGCAUAUUGAUCGCAUGGUCGAUAUGCCAAAGAUUUAUCGCUGAAAGAUGGCCUCGCGUCUGAUUAGCUAGUUGGUGAGGUAACGGCCCACCAAGGCGACGAUCAGUAGCCGGACUGAGAGGUUGACCGGCCACAUUGGGACUGAGAUACGGCCCAAACUCCUACGGGAGGCAGCAGUGGGGAAUAUUGGGCAAUGGGGGGAACCCUGACCCAGCAACGCCGCGUGGAGGAAGAAGGUUUCGGAUCGUAAACUCCUGUCCUCAGGGAAGAGCAGAAGACGGUACCUGAGGAGGAAGCCCCGGCUAACUACGUG
rnacentral:rRNA from 1 species